GCAAACUUGGUCAUUUAGAGGAAGUAAAAGUCGUAACAAGGUUUCCGUAGGUGAACCUGCGGAAGGAUCAUUAACAAGCCGUGAGAGGUCAACCUUCAAAAGAGGAUUUUGAUCUCGCACCUGGCCAACCUUGUUUAUCUUAACCUGUUGCUUUGGUGGGCCUUGCUGCAAGGCUGCCGGGAAGCUUUUUGUUUUCGGGAUAGUGCUCACCAAAGUCCUACUGAACUCUGGAUGAUAAACUGUUGCUGUCUGAACAAUGCAAAUGCAAAAAAUUUUUGUUAAAACUUUCAACAACGGAUCUCUUGGUUCUGGCAUCGAUGAAGAACGCAGC
rnacentral:misc_RNA from 1 species